CUAAUAUGGUUCAUAUUACUGGACAAUGGAGUAUAUACAGUUGAUAUUGUACGUCAUGACGGGCACAUACAAAUUCAGUCCUUCAUUAUGAAAAUAGUAGGAUUAGAGGAUAAACCCCAAUGCAUAGAAACCUCGCUGGACUACAUGGCGAUGCAAAGAGUGAAGUCGUUCACCUGAACAGACGCAAAAUUCUCCAGAGUAGACCUUUCCAUUACAACAAUUUCGCAUCUGCAGUGCAAACCAUUCGCCCAGCUUCAUAAACCCCAGGCAACGAAAUCGUCAUGUACCACUAUAGCAGCACUUGCCCACCCAUUGAAACUGUGCUAUGCUUACAACCGAGCAAAGAAUAGAGCUAUCUCAUGCUCCUCUUCGAACUAGAUGACCUGACGAGUGUGACGAAUACUCCGAAAUUCAUAAGAAUUCGCCAUACUCUUGCGAAAAAUUAGCAGGAUUGCAGAGCACCAGUGUCAAAGCUUUCAAUUUGAAAUGCUUGGACCUUUUACUGUGACCUGCCAUUCUGCAGUAACCAAGAUAUGAGUUCGAAAUCAUUGGCAUAAUCUCACAUCUGUCAAUCAAAUAAUUCCAC
rnacentral:lncRNA from 1 species